ACAUUGUCAGUUUACUUUGAAGUUUUGAUUUGUAUCGUGAAAAGUACCGUAUUUUGCUAUUCAAAGUAUCGGUUUUCCAAACCAAAAGCUUCCAUUUAUGAUUCCUACAAUUUCAGUAGUUUAUAAAUUUUAAUUGCAAUCGCAAAAAAGACUAACAAAAAUUAAAUGUGCGCUUGCAUAUCUGGCAACUCAGUCUGGAAGUCCGUGAGGUAAAACGUCAACAUCAUGCAUCUAUAUGAAAUGUCACGAUAUUGAUGCUCGAAAAUCAGAAAAUCCGGAUUUCUGCGUCGUCGGCCAUGUUCAGCUGUCAUUAUGCUCUCAAAUGUCAUCAUAUUGUCAAUAAAGUUGACCGUGUAAGGUCCGCUUUACAGCUUGUCAAUUUCAACUGCUCGCAGCGCCAUAGACGGGUAGUGGUGGCACCAUGAACAAGUUUUGUCAACACCGAAUCAAAACACCGCAGUGUUAAAUAUUCAGUUAGAGACGAAUGAACUCCCAGAGUUUAAAGUCUCUUAAAUCCAACACCAAUUCCAAUUCCUAUUCAGUUCGUGAGGAAAAAAAACUAUAAACUAUAUAUACCUGUGGCCAAGAGUAGUUGAACAAUGGUAAUGGAGCUAGCAAAGAAAAGGAAGGCUACGAUGCUCGACAAAUCGGGGAUGCUGGUCGUCAUUGAAGUGUGGAAGGACAAUAUUCUGUCCCUUCGGAGCACUUCCAAGAACUCCCACAUCUACAAGUAAAAGUGUGAGGAGCUGAAAGGCCACGGCGUUAUACUUACGGCGGUCGAAUUGAAAAACCGGAUCAAUAAUCUCUCUCGGAAGUACAGAUCCGAAAGAAACGCCAUGGGACCCUCGGGAGGAUCACCUUCUUCUUGGGAUUAUUUUUAUAUUCUACACAGCUUUCUCCAUACUUAUAAACAAAACAGCACUCGCGAUUUGAUGGAUGAGGUGAUUGGUUCCGAUGAUGACUACUGCGAUGCUGAGUAUUUAGAUGAAGCGUACAACCCGGAGAACGACACAUUCGCUCAAUCUAUGUUUAUGUCACCUUCUGCGCCGACAUCAUCAUUAUCAUCGCCAUCACCAACACUGCCAUCAUCAAGCCGCAGGCAUUCCGCUCCUAAAAAGAGAAAACAAAAUGUGCAGGAAAAAUUGUUGGAAUUGGCUAUAAAAUAAAACGAAAAUAUGGUUACUUUUAUGGAGCAUUCCA